CCAAUUGGACUAGGGGGAGUCACAUCCUACCAAAUCCAGAUGAACUCCGAAUGGUGUUAAAUAUACCUUGCAGUGAGGGCGCGGGUGCUAAGGUCCGUGUCCGAGAGGGAAAGAACCCAGACCAACAGCUAAGGUCCCCAAAUCUCUAUUAAGUUGAAGCAACGCGGUUGGACUGCAUUGACAGCUAGGAUGUUGGCUUGGAAGCAGCCAUUCAUUUAAAGAGUGCGUAACAGCUCACUAGUCGAGCGGACGAGCAUGGAUAAUAAUCGGGCAUAAGCAUAUUACCGAAGCUAUGGACUCCUUUUGGAGUGGUAGGGGAGCAUUCCAGCAUCAGUGAAGGUGUGUCGUAAGGCAUGCUGGAGAGGCUGGAAAAGAAAAUGUAGGCAUAAGUAACGAUAAUGCGGGCGAGAAACCCGCACACCGAAAGACUAAGGUUUCCUCAGCUAUGCUAAUCAGCUGAGGGUUAGUCGGGUCCUAAGGCGAACCCGAAAGGGACAGUCGAUGGCCAACGGGUUAAUAUUCCCGUACUUGUAUUAGUUGUGAUGGGGUGACGGAGUGAUGAAAGUACCGCGAACUGACGGAAUAGUUCGUUAAAGCACCUACCUAUAAGAGCCGCAGGCAAAUCCACGGCUUUUGGGGAAAUGCGAUAGUACACGGAGUCUUCGGACAAAGUGAUAGUGUACCUAAGGGCUUCCAAGAAAAACCUCUAAACUUAGAUUAAUACAACCCGUACCGUAAACCGACACAGGUAGUCGAGGAGAGAAUCCUAAGGUGCUCGAGAGAUUCAUGGCUAAGGAAUUAGGCAAAAUAGACCUGUAACUUCGGGAGAAAGGUCGCCAGCAGCAAUGCUGGCCGCAGUGAAAAGGUCCAGGCGACUGUUUAUCAAAAACACAGGGCUCUGCAAAAUCGUAAGAUGAGGUAUAGGGCCUGACACCUGCCCGGUGCUGGAAGGUUAAGAGGAGAUGUUAUCUUCGGAGAAGCAUUGAAUUGAAGCCCCAGUAAACGGCGGCCGUAACUAUAACGGUCCUAAGGUAGCGAAAUUCCUUGUCGGGUAAGUUCCGACCUGCACGAAUGGUGUAACGAUCUGGACACUGUCUCAGCCAUGAGCUCGGUGAAAUUGUAGUAUCGGUGAAGAUGCCGAUUACCCGCAGUGGGACGAAAAGACCCUGUGCACCUUUACUAUAGCUUAGUAUUGGUCUUGGAUAAGUGAUGUGUAGGAUAGGUGGGAGACUGUGAAAUGGCGUCGCCAGGCGUUGUGGAGUCAUUGUUGAAAUACCACCCUUUGCUUAUCUGAGGUCUAACCCCGUUUUGCGGGGGACAUUGCUUGGUGGGUAGUUUGACUGGGGUGGUCGCCUCCAAAAGAGUAACGGAGGCUUCUAAAGGUUCCCUCAGCACGCUUGGUAACCGUGCGUAGAGUGCAAUGGCAUAAGGGAGCUUGACUGAGAGACAUACAGGUCGAUCAGGUACGAAAGUAGAGCAUAGUGAUCCGGUGGUUCCGCAUGGAAGGGCCAUCGCUCAAAGGAUAAAAGGUACGCCGGGGAUAACAGGCUGAUCUCCCCCAAGAGCUCAUAUCGACGGGGGGGUUUGGCACCUCGAUGUCGGCUCGUCACAUCCUGGGGCUGGAGAAGGUCCCAAGGGUUCGGCUGUUCGCCGAUUAAAGUGG
rnacentral:rRNA from 1 species